UCCGAUGGCGGACGGGUGAGUAACACGUAAAGAAUCUGCCCUUUAGUCUGGGAUAACAUCUGGAAACAGUUGCUAAUACCGGAUAUUAUAAUUCGAUGGCAUCAUCUUAUUAUGAAAACUAUAUGUGCUAGAGGAGGACUUUGCGGCCCAUUAGCUAGUUGGUGAGGUAAUGGCUCACCAAGGCUUCGAUGGGUAGCCGGCCUGAGAGGGUGUACGGCCACAAGGGGACUGAGACACGGCCCUUACUCC
rnacentral:rRNA from 1 species